ACCAUUUGUAGACCAAUCUGUGACAAUUGGGGAGAACACAGAAAAUAACAGAAAAGUAUGCGGUCUUUCCCGAACAGUGUCAUAAAUAAUCUUUUGAUUUAUUGAUAUUUUUGAGGCUAAUGCUCUUAAAAUCUUAGGCAAUAACACUCUUAGAACAACUGUAAUCCCAAGUGAUUUCUUGAAACUUCUGGUAAAUAUGCUUAUGUUCACAAGUAUAAAAGAAUUAUAGAUAUAUGCUACUGGUAGCUUAGUUUUUAAAGAGCUUUUAUUCUUUUGGAAGUAUUGGGCCUGGUGUGGCAAGCCCAAGAGAUGGACAAUGAUAACACCAGCAUUCUGAAGAUGAUGUGUGGAGACACAGCAAUGUUUAGAAGACGUGGCACACAAGAUGCUCACUAGGUCAUUGCUAUGGCUGCCUUUGAUUUUUCUCUCCUCUCUCUUCCGGUCUACUGGGGAUACAACUUUCCAAGCAAGAUAGAGUCCAGAGCUGUUUCUACUCAAAUGACAUGAAAACUGAUAAACCAGUGCUUGGGAUUGAACCUAGGACCUCAGAAAAGCUAACUAUGCACCAUACUCCAGAGCUACACCUCAGGCCUGGAUCUCCAUGACUAAAUCAUUCAGAAUCUUCGUGGGAGAAGCCAUCUUCACUACCAGAUCUGCUUCCUGUGACUGGCUCACCAUCCAACUAACAAAGCUAUUCUGGGCAAUGUGAUGUUGGGCAAACAAGUCCCAUGAUAGCUGCGACAGUUGGGGAUGCCUGCCCUGCCUGUCUGUGCUGCCUUAGGUGAAGACGGAAGGAGACCUGAGGAAACCUUGAUGCUGUUGAUCCAAAGGCAGUGAAGAAAAUGGACAUGACAUGAGCAAGAAGAACAUGGAAUUCGGCAUGUGAAGGACACUGUCUCCAAAUAAAUCCAGAGGAUUGAUUUUGUUAUUUAACUCUGCAAGAUGAUUCUACAAUACUACACACAGACAUAGAAACCAGGACUAAGGUGGCAACCUCCGCACUUAGAUCGAGGGCUUGCUGUUCUUUGGUAGCUACUUGGUGUGUAUCUCUUCAGGCCUGAGCACCUUGGCUGGACUUGUUCUCUGGCAGGGCCAGCUAUGGUGGAAUCCGUAAGAGAAGUGUCACAAGGGAGAUGGAGAAACUGAGGACUGAGGACUUCCAACUGCCAGAGAGCUGGGACAUGGCUCCCUCCUAGCUCCGUGUUCCACAAGACAAAAGACAAAGGCAAAACAGAAUGUCAAGUUUAUAUACAAAGAAUAUAAUGUUUAUCUGAAAUAUGUACAGUGUUGGUUAAAGCAACAUUUUUACAACUUUUAAGGUAAACUAACGAUAUAUAUUACAAGUAAGCUACAAUGGUUUAAUUUGCAAAAGUUAAGUAAAAAAUGUUUUAAACAAGGCUUUGAGUACUCCAGUCAGUUCAUCAAGAUUUCUUUGCCCUUUACUUGAAGAACUCAUCAGGCUAUGGAGAAUGGUUACUGUGCUGUUUAUAAAUGGAGGUUCUGUAGCUGCAUUGCAGUAGUGCAGCCGUCCUAAGUUCCCAGGGAGGGUGCGGCAUGAACAGUGAGUUGUUGCGAGGCUCGGCGUGCCAGGCUGCAGCUGGGGGAGACGUUGAGACAAUGGCCAGCUUUAUCUCAACUAGGUUCUGUGGUCCGCAGGUUUGGACCACAGAGAAAAGUGAAGCAGUUUGUGUAACAAGUCACCUCAAGGAGCAGUGAAAGUCAGCUGACUGACCAAAGAAAGAGGACAGGAGAGAGCCCAGACCCAAGUCACAGCUCCAUCUAUUCAAAACUAUUCUUGAGAUAUUUUUCACUGAGUGCUUGGUGGCUUGUGCCUGUACAAUCCUAGCUAC